rnacentral:sRNA from 1 species
CUCCGCUGGCUGCAUCAUGACGCCUCCUUCGUGGCAGCCAUCCCUUCGACCCAGGUCGUCUACUUCUUCUUCGAGGAGACAGCCAGCGAGUUUGACUUCUUUGAGAGGCUCCACACAUCGCGGGUGGCUAGAGUCUGCAAGAAUGACGUGGGCGGCGAAAAGCUGCUGCAGAAGAAGUGGACCACCUUCCUGAAGGCCCAGCUGCUCUGCACCCAGCCGGGGCAGCUGCCCUUCAACGUCAUCCGCCACGCGGUCCUGCUCCCCGCCGAUUCUCCCACAGCUCCCCACAUCUACGCAGUUUUCACCUCCCAGUGGUGAGCAGCAGGGCUGGACCAUGGGGGCUGGACACGGGACUUGACGCCAGUGAGGCCCCAGCUCGUGAGCGGAGGCAGGAAUUGACAUGAGCCAGCACCUAUUCAGCACUUUCACAUAGGAAGGCAUUAAAUCGUCACCACCUCUCAGGAA